rnacentral:rRNA from 1 species
AUUGAACGCUGGCGGCAGGCCUAACACAUGCAAGUCGAACGGAGUGGCGAACGGGUGAGUAAUGUAUCGGAACGUGCCUAGUAGCGGGGGAUAACUACGCGAAAGCGUAGCUAAUACCGCAUACUAUUAGAGCGGCCGAUAUCGGAUUAGCUAGUGGGUGGGGUAACGGCUCACCAAGGCGACGAUCCGUAGCUGGUUUGAGAGGACGACCAGCAACACUGGGACUUAGACACGGCCCAAACUCCUACGGGAGGCAGCAGUGGGGAAUUUUGGACAAUGGGGGAAACCCUGAUCCAGCCAUCCCGCGUGUGCGAUGAAGGCCUUCGGGUUGUAAAGCACUUUUGGCAGGAAAGCGGUACCUGCAGAAUAAGCACCGGCUAACUACGUGCCAGCAGCCGCGGUAAUAC